rnacentral:piRNA from 1 species
UGCCUAUAAGAUGAAAAAUCUAGAGAAA